rnacentral:rRNA from 1 species
UACGUAGGUGGCGAGCGUUGUCCGGAUUUACUGGGCGUAAAGCGCGCGCAGGCGGCAGUCUAAGUCCUCUGUGAAAUCACCCGGCUCAACUGGGUGGCUGCGGAGGAGACUGGGCAGCUUGAGGGGCCUAGAGGCCGGUGGAACUCCCGGUGUAGUGGUGAAAUGCGUAGAGAUCGGGAAGAACACCAGUGGCGAAGGCGGCCGGCUGGGGGCGCCCUGACGCUGAGAGACGAAAGCUAGGGGAGCAAAUGGG